rnacentral:rRNA from 1 species
ACAUGCAAGUCGAGCGAACAGACGAGGAGCUUGCUCCUCUGACGUUAGCGGCGGACGGGUGAGUAACACGUGGAUAACCUACCUAUAAGACUGGGAUAACUUCGGGAAACCGGAGCUAAUACCGGAUAACAUGUUGAACCGCAUGGUUCAACAGUGAAAGACGGUCUUGCUGUCACUUAUAGAUGGAUCCGCGCCGCAUUAGCUAGUUGGUAAGGUAACGGCUUACCAAGGCAACGAUGCGUAGCCGACCUGAGAGGGUGAUCGGCCACACUGGAACUGAGACACGGUCCAGACUCCUACGGGAGGCAGCAGUAGGGAAUCUUCCGCAAUGGGCGAAAGCCUGACGGAGCAACGCCGCGUGAGUGAAGAAGGUCUUCGGAUCGUAAAACUCUGUUAUUAGGGAAGAACAAAUGUGUAAGUAACUAUGCACGUCUUGACGGUACCUAAUCAGAAAGCCACGGCUAACUACGUGCCAGCAGCCGCGGUAAUACGUAGGUGGCAAGCGUUAUCCGGAAUUAUUGGGCGUAAAGCGCGCGUAGGCGGUUUUUUAAGUCUGAUGUGAAAGCCCACGGCUCAACCGUGGAGGGUCAUUGGAAACUGGAAAACUUGAGUGCAGAAGAGGAAAGUGGAAUUCCAUGUGUAGCGGUGAAAUGCGCAGAGAUAUGGAGGAACACCAGUGGCGAAGGCGACUUUCUGGUCUGUAACUGACGCUGAUGUGCGAAAGCGUGGGGAUCAAACAGGAUUAGAUACCCUGGUAGUCCACGCCGUAAACGAUGAGUGCUAAGUGUUAGGGGGUUUCCGCCCCUUAGUGCUGCAGCUAACGCAUUAAGCACUCCG